GUCUACAGCCAUACCACACUGAACACGCCCUAUCUUGUCUGAUUUUGGAAGCUAAGCAGGGUAGGGUCUGGUAAGUAUUUGGAUGGGAGACCACCUGGGAAUACUGGGCGCUGUAGGCG
ensembl:rRNA 5S_rRNA 5S ribosomal RNA